UGGAGUGAAAGGGACCCGCACGCUCGGCAGGGGACCCCAGUGCCCCAUCUGCGUUGCAGCUGCCUCCUGUGCUCCUUGCAGGUGUCGUCAGCUUCCACCGACAGCCAGCUCUGGACCCCGCUGCCCCGCCGCCUGCCUUCGCUGGCCGUCACCUAAAACGAGCCUCUGAUCUCAGAGACGUGCUGGAUGGAAGGAUGGAAUAUAAGAAAGUAUCUUUGCCCGGCAUCUGAUGGGAAUAGUGGCAUGGAACGGGUCUCGACAUUAGUUGAGAGAUGCAGCAUCUGAACGCCAGAGCAAGGAUCAGAUUCUUUUUCCAAAACUUCAUUAAGUACAACUCUCAUCCUUCUUCCAUGAAGAAUUAUUGUAAAAAGUGAAAACUCUACCACAUGCAGCUAAAGAAGGAAGCUGAGGAGAUUGUGUGUUCCUGAGCCCAAUAUGAGUGCCUCUAAUUUGCCAAGUUGACCAUCGUCUAGGCUCCCGCAGAAAGGGCACAUCCCGGCCCCCAAUCCUCACCAUUUCUUUUCUAAGAAUUCCUAUUAAAGUGUAAAAUGCAUAUACAUGUGUCUCAAAUCUUAAAAAAAAAGAAAAGAACAGAAAAAAGAAAAGAAAAUCCCAGUUUUUCUUCCCCCAGUAAAUCUCUUACUGCCAGUUGGUG
rnacentral:lncRNA from 1 species